AUGAACGCUGGCGGCGUGCCUAAUACAUGCAAGUCGAGCGAACAGAUGAGGAGCUUGCUCCUCUGACGUUAGCGGCGGACGGGUGAGUAACACGUGGAUAACCUACCUAUAAGACUGGGAUAACUUCGGGAAACCGGAGCUAAUACCGGAUAAUAUAUUGAACCGCAUGGUUCAAUAGUGAAAGACGGUUUUGCUGUCACUUAUAGAUGGAUCCGCGCCGCAUUAGCUAGUUGGUAAGGUAACGGCUUACCAAGGCAACGAUGCGUAGCCGACCUGAGAGGGUGAUCGGCCACACUGGAACUGAGACACGGUCCAGACUCCUACGGGAGGCAGCAGUAGGGAAUCUUCCGCAAUGGGCGAAAGCCUGACGGAGCAACGCCGCGUGAGUGAUGAAGGUCUUCGGAUCGUAAAACUCUGUUAUUAGGGAAGAACAAAUGUGUAAGUAACUAUGCACGUCUUGACGGUACCUAAUCAAAAAGCCACGGCUAACUACGUG
rnacentral:rRNA from 1 species